rnacentral:rRNA from 1 species
CCCUUAGAUGUUCUGGGCCGCACGCGCGCUACACUGAUGCAUUCAACGAGUUUCUUCCUGGUCCGAGAGGAAUGGGUAACCUUUUGAAAGUACAUCGUGAUAGGGAUAGACUAUUGCAAUUAUUGGUCUUCAACGAGGAAUUCCUAGUAGACGUAGUUCAUCAGACUGCAUCGAUUACGUCCCUGCCCUUUGUACACACCGCCCGUCGCUCCUACCGAUUGAAUGCUCAGGUGAGCCAUUCGGACUUUCAUCAUGCUGGUUUCCAGUUUUGAUGAAGGAAAGUCUUGCGAACCUUAUCAUUUAGAGGAAGGAGAAGUCGUAACA